rnacentral:rRNA from 1 species
GACGACGCUGGCGGCGUGGAUUAGGCAUGCAAGUCGAACGGUAUCAUCCUUCGGGGGUGAGAGAGUGGCGAACUGGUGAGUAACACGUAGGUUAUCUACCCUCAAGACGGGGGACAACCCAGGGAAACUUGGGCUAAUACCGGAUGUGAGCAACUUUUAGUUGUUUGAAAGGUGGCGUAAGCUGUCGCUUGGGGAUGAGCCUGCGUCCUAUUAGUUAGUUGGUGAGGUAACGGCUCACCUAGGCAAUGAUAGGUAGGCGGCCUUAACGGGUGGUCGCCCACACUGGGAUUGAGAUACGGCCCAGACUCCUACGGGAGGCAGCAGUCGAGAAUAGUCUACAAUGGUCGGAAGACUGAUAGUGCGACGCCGCGUGAACGAUGAAUCCCUUCGGGGUGUAAAGUUCUUUUAUAUGUGAGCAGUGCUUCUUAUAUUAACAGUAUGGGGAGAGAGAUAUUAGCAUAUGAAUAAGCAACGGCUAACUCCGUG